CGACCACUCACGAUCUGGCAACUCCCUUGUGAAAUUGAGAGAACGUAGCGCGAUCGUCAGAUUGUGAAUCUUGUCUCGGGAGCUUUCACAGCAGUUAAAACAAAACUGAUUGUAAGAUAGUCACGUUAGCAUGUUAUAUAUUCGUAGUAAGGGGCUGUAAGUUUCGUUUCUCGUCACUUCCGGUGAAGCGUUUCCGGUGACAAACAAAUCCGAUUCGGUAUUACGAGUAUAGAAUCGGGCCAACUACACGUCCGAAAAACCAACGCUUAUGCAUAAAUCAGAGAACGCUGUGUACCACAACCAUUUGUUAUGUCCCUGUUUAACAAGUUGAAGUACAUUGUCAAUGCAGUGGUUCAAGUGUCGAUGGAGAACAAGUUGUAUAAAGUAACCAGAAUACAGGAAGAGUAUUUUCUCCCUUAAGUCCAGCCAUCCUUACUAUCACCUGAUACAGGGCCAGCUUUUGUGCAAUAUGAAUUAUUGUGUUUGGACUACAGCCGACUGCAUGCAAAAUUAUCCGGAUCAUCAAGGACUCUUAGUGAACAAAGAACAUUGCAAAGUGAUAGAAUUUUAUUUCUGCAACUUGAUUAUUUGGAAACAGCUGACUGCAGAAUUAUCCGGGAUCAUAAAGAACUCUGAAUGGUCACAUAACAUUAACAGAUUUAUACUUUCAAUAUCUUCAUUCCUGAAUGGAUUCAAAAUCAACAUGUAUUGAUAAAAUAUACUUAGUAAAACAAUGACAAUCAGUAGUGCAUCUUUUAUUUAUAUGCUAGACUAUUUGACACACAA